GACGAACGCUGGCGGCGUGCUUAACACAUGCAAGUCGAACGGAAAGGCCCUGCUUUUGUGGGGUGCUCGAGUGGCGAACGGGUGAGUAACACGUGAGUAACCUGCCCUUGACUUUGGGAUAACUUCAGGAAACUGGGGCUAAUACCGGAUAGGAGCUCCUGCUGCAUGGUGGGGGUUGGAAAGUUUCGGCGGUUGGGGAUGGACUCGCGGGUUAUCAGCUUGUUGGUGGGGUAGGGGAUUACCAAGGCUUUGACGGGUAGCCGGCCUGAGAGGGUGACCGGCCACAUUGGGCCUGAGAUACGGCCCAGACGCCUACGGGAGGCAGCAGGGGGGAAUAUGGCAGAAUGGGCGGACGCCUGAUGCAGCAACGCCGCGUGCGGGAUGACGGCCUUCGGGUUGUAAACCGCUUUCGCCGUUGACAAAGCGGGAGUGACGGUAAUGGGUAAAGAAGCACCGGCUAACUACGUG
rnacentral:rRNA from 1 species